rnacentral:tRNA from 1 species
UCCCCAGCAGUUCAGUGGUUAGAACUCUGUACUUCCACUGCAUAGGACACAGGUUCAAUCCCUGGUCAGGGAA